rnacentral:rRNA from 1 species
GACAGCAGUAGCCGCGGGAAUACAGAGGGUGCAAGCGUUAAUCGGAAUUACUGGGCGUAAAGCGCGCGUAGGUGGUUUGUUAAGUUGGAUGUGAAAUCCCCGGGCUCAACCUGGGAACUGCAUCCAAAACUGGCAAGCUAGAGUAUGGUAGAGGGUGGUGGAAUUUCCUGUGUAGCGGUGAAAUGCGUAGAUAUAGGAAGGAACACCAGUGGCGAAGGCGACCACCUGGACUGAUACUGACACUGAGGUGCGAAAGCGUGGGGAGCAAACAGGAUUAGAUACCCCCGUAGUCCCUGUCUCUUAUAC